AUUGAACGCUGGCGGCAGGCCUAACACAUGCAAGUCGAACGAGUGGCGGACGGGUGAGUAAUGUCUGGGAAACUGCCCGAUGGAGGGGGAUAACUACUGGACACAGUAGCUAAUACCGCAUACCAUCGGAUGUGCCCAGAUGGGAUUAGCUAGUGGGUGGGGUAACGGCUCACGUAGGCGACGAUCCCUAGCUGGGCUGAGAGGAUGACCAGCAACACUGGAACUGAGACACGGUCCAGACUCCUACGGGAGGCAGCAGUGGGGAAUAUUGCACAAUGGGCGCAAGCCUGAUGCAGCCAUGCCGCGUGUAUGAAGAAGGCCUUCGGGUUGUAAAGUACUUUCAGCGAGGAGGCGUUACCCGCAGAAGAAGCACCGGCUAACUCCGUGCCAGCAACCGCGGUAAUUC
rnacentral:rRNA from 1 species